UUGAGUUUUCGACUCCUUUUCUAUAUACCAUCCAUUCAAUUUUCACACGCAUCCAAACCUUUUUCUUUGGAUUUUGAGAUCUUCGUUCUUGAAUCUCUCAUUCAUUUCGGUGAAGAUUUAAGCAGCGAUUUUGAUUCCAAUUGAUCAAUGGCUCUUCUCGGCUUCGCAGUUACCAACGAGGUUAGGGAUAAAAGUUUGAGUGAUUCGCUGCAAACAAUGUUAGAAGGAUAUGACGAGAACUCGAAUGUGGGGAAGCUAUCAUAUUUGGGAUCCUUUAUGGAGGUUGAUUUGCAGCUGCUUCUAUAUCCUCUUGGUUCCAAUGUUGUUCGUACGGCAUGUUGCUCUGUAGGGAUUGUCUUACCUGUGAAUUCCCCUUCAAGGCAAUCGAGAAGAAAGAUCAAAAUAAGCAAUAGAAGUGGCUUUUGUAUUGGGCAGGUUGGGAAAAAAAAUCUUUUCAGUUCUUUAGCUUUCUUGAUUUUUAAUUUCAAACUAUGGAUUAUCUUGUAUAUUGUGUGUCAUGGAGAAAUAUGCAAGCUCUUGGAGGUUUUGCAGGGUUGGCCUAGUUUUCUUUGGGGCAUGGGAAGAUGUAAAGGAACGUACAAUUUUGUUUCCAGUGUACUAUCAUCUGGAGUUGCGUUUCUUGUUUGUCCAGCUCCCAGCAACUGAUGUAAGUACGGGUGCAUUUUCUCCCAGCAACUGAUUUAAGUACGGAUUUCUCCAGCAACUGAUGGACAUCAAUAUAGAGCCAGAAAGGAGAUAAACUGAAAGGAAGAAACGCCUAUUCUCCUUCAGAGAUCUCCUGCCAUUUUUUUUCAGCAAAGAACCAAAAUAGACCUUGAACAACACUUAGCGACACUUCAGAGAUCUCCUACAUUUAAACCAAAUGUGUUCUGAACUAUAGUCUUCCAUAUCUAUUUGUUGCUUUUCGACACUUAUCGUUGCUCAUUUUCAGGGUGCAAAGAAAUUAUACACGUACCAGCUGCGUCCUCUCUUCCUUAGGCAUACGAUCUUGGGGGCGGUUUCAGAUGAAGUGGUGAAAACCAUUGCUGCACGUCAACCAGAGAUUCAGUAAUUUAGAACCAUGUUUAUGAGACUAAUGAGAUCAGGUGAAAACGUAGCAAUAUCCUGCUUAUUGGUUAAUUUGUAAUUCCAUUUCUUUCAACUCUUUAUCUUAUCUCAACCUCUGGAUCAGUCGAAGGGCUUGGGUUUGCAAGACCAUAUCAGGCUGGAAAGUGCCAACAAAUCGAGGAUCAAGUAAGACUAAAAGCUUGGAUGCAGAGUCAGAUAUUGAUGAUCGACUUAUUGCCAACAGUUUCCAUUCGCUGGUGUAGUUGCAACAAUAUCAACCCCCGGUUUCCUGGAAGUUCAUAUAGGUAGCUGCUUGUAAAAAUGAGUUUGCCUCUUAAGAUAGUGUCGAUCAACAGUCUUAGUCUUCCUUUUUCCAAUACCUUUCACACAAAACUGAACUUAUGGAAAUAUUAGAAUUUUUUUCACA